AGUCAGCAUAAAUAACUAAUGCAAAGUGUAGCUGAAGAGUCGACAAGCUCAGAUUCCUUGAAUACUGAAGGAGGACACAAAAUAGAAGAAUUGAAAUCUUGCGGACGCUAAGAAUUAUUCAUCUUUAAUGAGCUUCUUAAAAUAUGUAAGGAAAACAGUUACAUCAAACCAGACCUUGUAACACAGAUUGAAUCUUCCUCUUUAUCACUGUCUUGGAAGAAUUCUCUCCAAUCAGUUUUUCCAAAAGAUUGUCAUCAUGGCCAAGCAAUAAGAUGCUUUCUGUGCCAUCUGAUAGCAUCAUGACUGCACUCAUCUCUAGUUCCUUUGGUGAUUCGUUUCACUCCAGUCAUUUCUGAGGGGACCGUCUGCCUGUGGGCUUUGCCCAUCUGCAGUAAAGGUGACAAGCAGUUCAUAAUUCCAGAGAACACCUCUCUGCCAACAAAAAAAGGUGCAAUAUAGCCACAGCAUUAAAAUAAGGAUAUGCAUCACAGCCAAAGCUGCCUCACAGCAAAGUAUUUGGAGAGGCCA